GGAGAGAUAGCAAAGUGGUUAAAUGCACCUGACUGUAAAUCAGGCGGCUUAUGCCUUCGGAGGUUCGAAUCCUCCUCUCUCCA
rnacentral:tRNA from 2 species